UGUUAAAGAAAUGGGAUUUAAAUAAAUGUAGGGAGUGACUAUGCUACCCUGACAAGAGAGGUGAGAAGGUCACUCCACCACUGGGGAGCAGGAGUGGUGUCCAGGUCGCUGCAGGAAAGGGAGAACUGAGCAGCAACAUACUGUAAACUAAAAAAAUAGUGAUGUUGUGGUAGAGAGAAAACCAAUGCUUUAACAUCUGAAGAGUGUUUUAUGUGCAUUUGGAGGGAAGCAAAGACUUUGAAUCAAUUUAAACCAAAGAAUCGGGCACAGCUGAAGAGCGUUAGGUGUACAUACAUUUUAUUUUCAUUCAGAAAUACCGCUUUACAGUUACAACAAUAGUGUCAAAUUUUAAAUUCUAUGGCAAGUGGCAUAUUUUGUAUUAAAAACUAACCCAUUCAGCAAACCUAGUUUGCCUCCAAAAUGCUUCUUUUUACACAUUCAGGCCAGUAGUCUAUACAUUUUCUCUUCAGCAUUGUGUAGAAGUUUACAUGCAGGCCUCAGGCAGGACACUCAAUUUGCAGUAGAAGAGAAGAACAAAUAUUACCUUUUUCUCCUUUGUGUUUUCUUUCUAUUCACCCUACAGCAACAGUAUGUAGCUAUGUUCAUUUAUCUUUCCUAUAUGCUCACUGUCGGCUGCCUUACUUUGGGCCUUUUUCUCCAUGAGACCAAGCGCUAGCUUAAAGCAUAGAUUCACACAGCAUGUUUGUAAAGCACAAGCUCACUAACCACUCUGCUGUAAUUCUCACUGGGCUUUAACUCAGAAUAAUGCGGUAAUUAUUCAGUCUUACAAAUCCUAUGGUGAAUCUUAAUCAAAAUUUAUAAGCUGGCAGCUUAUAAAAAGCUUAUAAAACAGGGUCAAAACACUAUUAGUUGUAUUAAUGCUGCAGAGUGUAAAGCUAGUUUCUAAAAACAGAAGCUACAGGUGUGCUAUGUAUUAUUGUAACUGAGGCGUUUGAGUUCUGAGUCAAAAAAUUGUGAACCUAGCAGUGAAAGUCAUCACAAUGUUUUGCAUUGAAAGAUAACAGCUAAGGUUUCUAUGUGCUACUAAUCAUUUUGAGUGGUGUACUCAAUGAUGCAACAUUGGAUUAUGCUGUUGGAGUCCCUGUUGCACCUUUCUUAACAUCAGUGCACAAAUUUCAUGCAGGGUUGACAUUUUCCUCAAAGAUGCUUCCCUGAAAAGUAGCAUGAGUGAAGUAACCACUUUGCAUUUGAUAGCUUCUGUAAACACAGUCGCUUCAUUUUGCUUAUUUUUACGGAUGCAGUUUUUAAUUUACGGUCCAUAGAUCACAAGAUAUUCCUAAAUCAAAUUUGAUCACAUACAGUGAUGUGCUAAUUAAGACUGUUUGCUUAUUAAGGCUUUGGUAUGAUUUUAAAUACAACAUAGCAGAGCUUUUUGAUCAGUGUUACUGUCUGCUAUGCAGAAACCUGGCAACCUCAUAAGCAGAUAUACAAUAUGAUUUAAAUAUACUGCUCACAGCACAAUUCAGACUAGAAGUACCCUUAAGCCUCACUGUUCUCUUCCUUUAUUUUCAUCUGGACAUACUCAGUAGCCAGUUUAGUUUUCUUUGUGUCAUUAAUGGGUUAUGUAACAGCAUGACAACAUCAGCUGACAGCUAAAGGCAGAAAAGGAUGCAACACUGAUCAACUUAUGUGCAAGGUACCUUCACUUAGAUGAAAAUAAAAUGACAGGCCCUGGGAACAUAAUUGAAUGCACUGAUGACAAACCACAGAAACGUAGCUGUUUAUGCACCUCCUAUACAUUCCAGACAGGAAAACAAUUGCUACAUUUAAAACUGUGACUAUGAAAACAUGAAUGAAACAGCUAUUGCAAAGCACAAAUCCUUUUCACCUGAUAAAUAUAUACUCUCAGUGGCAACUUAUUUAGCUGCAACUCGUUAGACGUAGGUCAGAUCUCUGUUUGCUCGCGGCCUGAAUUCUUUGAGGCAUGUUCACAAGAAUUCCUGUUCAAGCUGUAAUGUUUUUUUGUGUGUAAAGAGGCACCAAAUUAAACAA